rnacentral:rRNA from 1 species
AGUGAACGCUGGCGGUAGGCCUAACACAUGCAAGUCGAACGGCAGCACAGUAAGAGCUUGCUCUUACGGGUGGCGAGUGGCGGACGGGUGAGGAAUACAUCGGAAUCUACUUUUUCGUGGGGGGUAACGUAGGGAAACUUACGCUAAUACCGCAUACGACCUACGGGUGAAAGCAGGGGAUCUUCGGACCUUGCGCGAUUGAAUGAGCCGAUGUCGGAUUAGCUAGUUGGCGGGGUAAAGGCCCACCAAGGCGACGAUCCGUAGCUGGUCUGAGAGGAUGAUCAGCCACACUGGAACUGAGACACGGUCCAGACUCCUACGGGAGGCAGCAGUGGGGAAUAUUGGACAAUGGGCGCAAGCCUGAUCCAGCCAUACCGCGUGGGUGAAGAAGGCCUUCGGGUUGUAAAGCCCUUUUGUUGGGAAAGAAAAGCAGCAGGUUAAUACCCCGCUGUUCUGACGGUACCCAAAGAAUAAGCACUGGCUAACUUCGUG